GUAGGUGAACCUGCGGAAGGAUCAUUAACACGUAUCCAACGUUAAACAACCCUGCGAACCUUGAACGUGCUCUCGUACACGCUCUAGCAGCAAUCCCUGGUAAAUCAUUGUUGACCAGCUAUUGAGUCUGGGACUUCUGCUAGAAAACCAUACGAUACGAGCGCCAGAGUAAGUGCGGCCUAGCAUCCUAGCAAUCUGUCAGUGUUUGCGCAAGGAUGGCGCAGUAAACGAUCGCUGUAGGCCCACACGGCCCUGUGCUUCGGCACCUAAUGACACCAGUUUUCUGACCCGGUGCGCUGUAACAACCGCACCACAAACUCGAACAACUGUUAACAAUGGAUAUCUUGGUUCUU
rnacentral:misc_RNA from 1 species